rnacentral:tRNA from 1 species
GUUUCUGUAGUGUAGUGGUCAUCACGCUCGCCUAACACGCGAGAGAUCCCCGGUUCGAAACCGGGCAGAAACA